CUCCUGGAUCCAAACAGGCAACACAUACUGGCCCCAGAACCAGCUGCAAGGUGUCUGUGAGUCCACAUCCCAGUUGGCAAGCUUGCUGAUGGCAGAGGGCAAGCUAGCACAAAGCAAGUUGGCAGGGGGGAAAAAAAAAAUUAAACCACCUUUCCAUCUUUUGUAAGAUCUUGCUGCAAUACUGUGUGCCAAAAAAGCGCAGCACUGCCCUGAUUUGCAGUCAUCUCUUGGAAGAAAUAUUAUAAUGUUUACACAAAGACUAGUGUCUUCUAGAUGGAAAUGAAACUUCUUAGGACGUCAUAGGCACAUUUUUAAGUAGCUUGUUGUGAGCUUUCAAGGCAGCUAAUCUGAAAUCAGAAAUUACAGUGUCUUCCUUGCUUCACCAGGUUUCUGGCUGGAUGUCAAAGUCAACUCACAUAGUUCUACAUCUUGGACCCUUGAGGAGGUAGUAGCUAUAUGGUCAUGAGGACAAGUGACUUUGGUUGUGCCAAGACCUGAAAUGGGAGACUGGUGUAAAUGGCAGAUAGCCAGCAAUGAGGAGACAUCUGGGAUAAGACAAGGCACUAAGCAAGUGCCAAGCGGUGACAUCUACUAUAGUCUCCAGGACAUGCUGGUCUCCGCUGUGGAGGAAAAAAGGGUGAGAGGGGGAGGGGGACGAGCCAGAGAAAGCACAAAUCCUGCUGUGUUCCAGAAGGAUGAGUCACUUCCUCGCAGUAACUCUGAGGUGCCUUAUUUAUGGCUGCUCUGCUGAUAUGAAGCCCAGCUCAGUUCCUCGGCGGCGUCCCCAGGCUCGGCCUCCCUCCUGGCUGCCCAUUAAUCAUGCGGGACUGUUACGAAGUGCACACAGAGUGGGAGUUCUGCCCGCCAGUGGCCUUUAGCUGUCUCCAGUUCAAUGAAAUUACCUUGUGUGAAGACUUGUUUUAUGAGAGAUUGGUUUAUUUGUAACUAAACUACUUCCUCCGUUAUUUGAUAAGCUCAAAUAUUUGCUACUGAUAGUCAGAGAGUGUCACAUUUAUUAUCCCGUUUCAGGCAUUGCUUAACUCCUUUGUAUUAGACCUUUUUAACCCCUUUGAGGACAGCAGAAAAAAAAAUAAUAAAAAAGACUGGAAAAGUCUUACUCCUGUUACU
rnacentral:lncRNA from 1 species